AAGUCGUAACAAGGUUUCCGUAGGUGAACCUGCGGAAGGAUCAUUAACACGUAUCCAAACGUUAAAACCCCCCCCGUGAACAUUCAUCCUGCUCUUGUAACCCGCGAAGCUUGCAAUCUCUGGUAAAUCAUAGCCCGGAAAGUAGUUUUGAUUCAGAGACCUCUGGCCCGUGAGAAUCUUUGAGAAGUUACAAUUUUGAGCGGUAGUUCUAUGUGUCAUUGAUUGUGCAAGGAUAACGCUUCACGAUUCUUGUAGACCGCAUCUCGCGGGCAGGAGCUAGGCCAAAGGGUCCCCAUGCCCCCUUACAACCCCACAGUUUAAUGUGAAGCUCAAUGUAAUACAUUGGGUAAAAAAACCGAACAACUGUUAACAAUGGAUAUCUUGGUUCUC
rnacentral:misc_RNA from 1 species